UACGAAGGGGGCUAGCGUUGCUCGGAAUUACUGGGCGUAAAGCGCGCGCAGGCGGUCUUCCAAGUCAGUGGUGAAAGCCCGGAGCUCAACUCCGGAAUUGCCAUUGAAACUGUUGGACUUGAGUACGAGAGAGGUGAGUGGAAUUCCCAGUGUAGAGGUGAAAUUCGUAGAUAUUGGGAAGAACACCGGUGGCGAAGGCGGCUCACUGGCUCGUUACUGACGCUCAGGCGCGACAGCGUGGGGAUCAAACAGG
rnacentral:rRNA from 1 species